rnacentral:rRNA from 2 species
GAUAGCUUAACCUUCGGGAGGGCGUUUACCACGGUGUGGUUCAUGACUGGGGUGAAGUCGUAACAAGGUAGCCCUAGGGGAACCUGGGGCUGGAUCACCUCCUUACCUAAAGA